rnacentral:misc_RNA from 1 species
CGGACCCUACAUCUGACGGGGUUGGCGGGAAUGUUCGUCUUCAGUAUCCUCAUAACCAUUACGCUCUCCUUUACGGACAAGGUUCCGUGGUUUGAUACCGCUAACGUGGUUGUCUCCCUUGUCUAUGUGGUUUUUUUCGCCAUGGGGCCAGGAUCUAUACCAUGGAUGAUAGUAGCGGAACUGUUCACGCAGGGACCGCGGGUUUCCGCAAUGAGUAUAUCGGUUCUGAUUAACUGGGCGUGUAACUUUGCUGUUGGAUAUGUGUUCCCCAUUAUGCAGAAAGAACUAAAUAACUUCUCCUUCCUGCCUUUUACGGCAUUUCUCCUGUUGUUUUGGAUCUUUAUUUAUGUAUACCUACCAGAGACUAAAAAUAGAACAUUUGAGGAUAUAGCCUCGUCUUGGAACAAAUCUCAAAGCGAGGCGGGGAACCCCCAGGCUAAGUAUAUCCCAACGGAAGACACGGCUAUUGUGGAAUUCCAACAACAGCAGAGAAGCAAUCGAUGACCAAAAGCAAAGCCAUAGAGUUUUAGUUUGCAAAUUAUGCAUAAGUUAUUAUUUCAAAAAUUUCAGAAUCUUUAAGGUUGUUGACAAGCUUUAGAAACAAAUCUUGAACAAACAUUACAUGUCCUGUCCUCUUCAUUUUCAAACAACUUAGUCAUCGUAUAAUUCAUGAUUUCAAUGGUAUAUUGAAGAAACCGUUCUAUAUGUAUUAUAUGUGGUCGAGGUAUAGUUCUAUAUAUGUAUAUAUAUGUACUCCUAAUAUAUUUUUGUAUACUGUAUACAUUAUAAAGUUAAAGGGAAAAAAACUUUUUUUUAAAAGUUGUGUACUCGGAGUUUUGUUUUUACAAAGAGAAUGAUGUCUUAUUUAACUUUUAGGUGAUACAUCUGAAAUGCAAUAAUAAUAAUACAUCUAUAAUUGUGUUUUUUAAUUUGUUUAUUGAAAAAAUAAAUAGAAAA